UAGAACUAAAUGCCACUUCUACUGUGCAGCUGCUGGAUCUUCCUGGCAUCAUUGAGGGCGCUAAAGAUGGCAAGGGUAGAGGCAAGCAGGUCAUUGCCGUGGCCCGCACGUGUUCCCUCAUCUUCAUUGUCCUGGACGUGCUCAAGCCCCUGCAGCACAAGCGGCUCAUUGAACAUGAACUGGAAGGUUUUGGCAUGCGACUCAACAAGAGCCCUCCUGACAUCACCUUCAGAAGAAAAAAGGAGGCGUGAACCUCAACGCUGUUGUCGCUCAGUCUGAACUUGACGCCGAGCUUGUCAAGAUACUUUGAGCGGAAUACAAGAUCCACAAUGCGGACGUUAUUCUGCGCUACGAUGCCACCGCUGACGACCUCAUCGAUGUUAUUGAAGGCAACCGCGUCUACGUGCCUUGCCUCUACAUCCUCAACAAGAUAGGCAUGUCUUACAUGUUCCUUUAGUCUACGUGCCUUGCCUCUACAUCCUCAACAAGAUAGGCAUGUCUGACAUGUUCCUUUAGUCUACGUGCCUUGCCUCUACAUCCUCAACAAGAUAGGCAUGUCUGACAUGUUCCUUUAGUCUAGAUGCCUUGCCUCUACAUCCUCAACAAGAUAGGCAUGUCUUACAUGUUCCUUUAGUCUACGUGCCUUGCCUCUACAUCCUCAACAAGAUAGGCAUGUCUUACAUGUUCCUUUAGUCUACAUACUUUGCCUCUACAUAACAAGAUAGGCAUGUCUCACAUGUUCCUUUAGUUCUUUUAGUUCAAGUGAAUUGUUGAGCUUUUUUAUUUUAGUUCGAGAGAUGUGCAUUAAAUUGCUUGAACACUUUAGAAGUUAGGGAGAAUACAAGAAAUUGGCCCUUAAAAUGUUCAUAUAGCUUUUCUAAGAUGGAUUGCUGUGUUUGAUUGCUUAGAAUAAUUGAACUCUGUGAUUCAAUUUUGCAAACUCUAUCAAUGUUCAGCAAAGAAUAUCAAUUAUUAUGUGCUUCAAAUACGUAACCCUUCAACUGUACCUACUUUUAAAGAUUCCAGAUUGUCAUUGUAUAAUGUAUAUGCACAGAAAAUGAUUAAUCAUCGUAUAAUGUAUAUGUGCAGAACAUGAUGAUCAUCGUAUCCCCUCAGGGGGGACUUCUGACGCUUGUCUGUGCGCGUCAGAAGUCCCGCUGCCUCCAACUCAUUAGCCUGCCUCGCUGCCUCCAACUCAUUAGCCUGCCUCGCUGCCUCCAACUCAUUAGCCUGCCUCGCUGUCUGCCUCUAACUCAUUACCCUGCUUUGCUUAUUCUCACUCAUUAACUUCACUGAUCAUCCUAGCUCAUUAACUUGGUCUGAACACCCUACCUCAGUAACCUUGUCAUAACAGCCUACUUAAAACCUGAAUUAGACAGUAAUUGUUCAAAUUUAGUCAUAUUACCAAUAUAGUUAUAGUUCAAUAUUGUGAUGUCAAUGUGUGAUGUGUAUGGUGCAGCAAAUUUUGUGAAGCUGUACGUAUGGCUUAGAAAAUAGCCAUAUGAAAUAGUAUAUGGUGCAUGAAAUAUAAAUAAAUCUAGAGUGCAUUUAGUGUGAAGGGUGUAGAAAAAAAGUAUAUAUAUAUGAAAUUGUAUAUAUGGUGCAUAAGAUAUAUACAAAUCUAUCUUGCAUAUAGUAGCGUAUAUGGUGUGUUGGAACCCCCUCCGUGGGUCGUGGGUCCCCUUUUUCCCCUCACUUUGGCCCUUCUC